GGGGAUGUAAAGGUUUCGACGGGGGUUUUGAACCUUGGUAAGCGAGUAGCGGUGUGGAACCGCUUUAAAAUCCACAAUUUUAAAUUUAAACGGCAAAACUAAUAAAGUUGCUAUGGCAGCGUAAUUAUCGCUGUCUGUCCUGUUUAAGAGCACCACGGCUUAAAUAAGGGCAUCGAUUUAGUGGUAAAUGUGAAUCGAGGGAUGUUCCGACCUUGGUCACACAUAAGGAACUACUAAGGCGCAGAGCCUGUUAUUGGGCGAUACGCUAAGGGAAUGUAAACCAAUAACUACACUCGUAGAAAACCAAGGGAAUUAAUUCUCGGACGGGGGUCCGAUUCCCCCCAUCUCCACCA
rnacentral:tmRNA from 1 species